GAGAAAGAGAAAGAGAAAGAGAAAGAGAAAGAGAAAAAAUUGGUGUGAUUUAAGAAAGAAACAGAAGUUGGUUUCUCUUCUUCUCUUUCUGCCCUUGGGAAUCUCCCUUUGAGUUGUUUCAACAAAAUUGAUUUCCGCAUCGGUACGUUUCAGAUAUUGAGGUGAAAUCUCAACAAAUUGUUUCU
rnacentral:ribozyme from 1 species